rnacentral:rRNA from 1 species
GAUGAACGCUGGCGGCAGGCUUAACACAUGCAAGUCGAACGAGAUCUUCGGAUCUAGUGGCAGACGGGUGAGGAACACGUGGGAACAUCCCUUUCAGUUCGGAAUAACGUUGGGAAACUAACGCUAAUACCGGAUACGUCCUUCGGGAGAAAGAUUUAUCGCUGAAAGAUUGGCCCGCGUCUGAUUAGCUAGUUGGUGAGGUAACGGCUCACCAAGGCUACGAUCAGUAGCUGAUCUGAGAGGAUGAUCAGCCACAUUGGGACUGAGACACGGCCCAAACUCCUACGGGAGGCAGCAGUGGGGAAUAUUGGACAAUGGGCGCAAGCCUGAUCCAGCCAUGCCGCGCGAGUGAUGACGGCCUUCGGGUUGUAAAGCUCUUUUGUCCGGGAAGAUAAUGACUGUACCGGAAGAAUAAGCCCCGGCAAACUUCGUGCCAGCAGCCGCCGCGG